GUGUGUGAGUGUUGUGUGUGUCUAGGUGCAGUUUUUUCUGUCUGCUGGAUGGUGAAGGCUGUACUUCCUGUGAUGGAUGCGUUUCUAUCACACCAAGAGUCUUAUUUUCUCAUCAGUCCUUAAGGAGGUGAAACCGCAGAAGUUUAAGCCUCAAGAGAUCUCCAGGUACUGAUCCAGGAACAGGACCAGCAAACCAGAUCAACUUGUGAACACAGUGAGCAGAGGAUGAUUGUGAUGGGAAAUCCAGAACAUUUCAGCAGUGGUUGAGUUUUGAGAUAUUCAGUCUCAUGUGGACCGCCUCUGACGGUCUCAAACACAUAACUGGUGACAAGUGAAUCUGGUUUGAAGGCGGGACAUAAUUGUCAUAUGCGAUCGGGGAGAGACAGAGAGAUGAUUACAACAGAUGCAGCAGUGCCAAAGGGCGUUCAGGCCUAUAGGAGACUGUUGCCUUUGGAAACCAUUAAGCAUGUAUAUGUUUAAAAGGCAUACAUGAAUUGAAUGUGAUGACAUUGACAGCAGACAUCUACAUGUUUCCAG